rnacentral:rRNA from 1 species
GAUGAACGCUGGCGGCGUGCCUAAUACAUGCAAGUCGAGCGAACGGACGAGAAGCUUGCUUCUCUGAUGUUAGCGGCGGACGGGCGAGUAACACGUGGAUAACCUACCUAUAAGACUGGGAUAACUUCGGGAAACCGGAGCUAAUACCGGAUAAUAUUUUGAACCGCAUGGUUCAAAAGUGAAAGACGGUCUUGCUGUCACUUAUAGAUGGAUCCGCGCUGCAUUAGCUAGUUGGUAAGGUAACGGCUUACCAAGGCAACGAUGCAUAGCCGACCUGAGAGGGUGAUCGGCCACACUGGAACUGAGACACGGUCCAGACUCCUACGGGAGGCAGCAGUAGGGAAUCUUCCGCAAUGGGCGAAAGCCUGACGGAGCAACGCCGCGUGAGUGAUGAAGGUCUUCGGAUCGUAAAACUCUGUUAUUAGGGAAGAACAUAUGUGUAAGUAACUGUGCACAUCUUGACGGUACCUAAUCAGAAAGCCACGGCUAACUACGUGCCAGCAGCCGCGGUAAUACGUAGGUGGCAAGCGUUAUCCGGAAUUAUUGGGCGUAAAGCGCGCGUAGGCGGUUUUUUAAGUCUGAUGUGAAAGCCCACGGCUCAACCGUGGAGGGUCAUUGGAAACUGGAAAACUUGAGUGCAGAAGAGGAAAGUGGAAUUCCAUGUGUAGCGGUGAAAUGCGCAGAGAUAUGGAGGAACACCAGUGGCGAAGGCGACUUUCUGGUCUGUAACUGACGCUGAUGUGCGAAAGCGUGGGGAUCAAACAGGAUUAGAUACCCUGGUAGUCCACGCCGUAAACGAUGAGUGCUAAGUGUUAGGGGGUUUCCGCCCCUUAGUGCUGCAGCUAACGCAUUAAGCACUCCGCCUGGGGAGUACGACCGCAAGGUUGAAACUCAAAGGAAUUGACGGGGACCCGCACAAGCGGUGGAGCAUGUGGUUUAAUUCGAAGCAACGCGAAGAACCUUACCAAAUCUUGACAUCCUUUGACAACUCUAGAGAUAGAGCCUUCCCCUUCGGGGGACAAAGUGACAGGUGGUGCAUGGUUGUCGUCAGCUCGUGUCGUGAGAUGUUGGGUUAAGUCCCGCAACGAGCGCAACCCUUAAGCUUAGUUGCCAUCAUUAAGUUGGGCACUCUAAGUUGACUGCCGGUGACAAACCGGAGGAAGGUGGGGAUGACGUCAAAUCAUCAUGCCCCUUGUGAUUUGGGCUACACACGUGCUACAAUGGACAAUACAAAGGGCAGCGAAACCGCGAGGUCAAGCAAAUCCCAUAAAGUUGUUCUCAGUUCGGAUUGUAGUCUGCAACUCGACUACAUGAAGCUGGAAUCGCUAGUAAUCGUAGAUCAGCAUGCUACGGUGAAUACGUUCCCGGGUCU